rnacentral:lncRNA from 1 species
CCACACUUUUAUGCAUAAGUGCACGGUAAUAUUGACUACUGUAGAAAUUGUCCAUUCAGUGCUCGGUUAUAAAUAUUCACUAGAGCGCAACCGGCAGAUGGGGCGAAUGUGUCUGGUAUCUCUCUCCAUCAUCUGAAGUUUCCACACCUUUAAAAUUACCCUUUUAAUUCACAUUCUUCGCGGUCUCUGUUUGAUUAUCCUAUCCUGCUCGAUUUUCACAUCAGCUAUAAAUCAAUUGACACAUGAUGAGAUGAGGGAUCUGCACACAACUGUGAAUGGAGCGUUAACGGGAGAAGUCGGCACGCGCUUCUUGUUCACACACACCCAACGCUUGGACAAAGGUAGGACAUUUUUUACACCUUCAAAUGUAUUUUUCUAAUAACUGCAUGAAUUUGACAUUCCCAAAGUAUCAGCAAGUGGUGUAUGUGUGUUUCUAUAUUUCAGUUUUAUUGUAACCUGUAUGUGCAUAUCGUUAUUGUAUUUCAAUGUAUUUAUGUUUGUGAAUAAUCAAGGAUUUUGCAUGUGUUGGAGCUGUCCCCAAAACUCACUAAAUAAAUGAUUUAUUCUCCAUUCCUGUGUGUGUGCAUAGUGUGUGUGAUUGCUAUGUGUGUUCUGAAUGUGUGCAUAUCAAGGCUAUGGGUACUCUGAGGGACCUGCAGUUUGCGCUGCAGCUGAAGAUCGAGGAGCUCCGUCAGAGAGACACUCUGAUAGAUGAGCUGGAGUUGGAGCUGGACACUAAAGAUGACCUCAUCAGACAGCUGCACCGCAAAGCUCCACAACACCCAGGGACCACUGGGAGCACUGAGAGCACAGUGCCUGAUGAGCCGCAGCGAACUAAGAGACAGGCAAUAUCAGCAGAACCCAGUGCCCUGGGCCCUGCCGAACUCACACACGUCACACUCACCAACUACAGCAAGAGCGAGGUGUAAGUACACAAACACAUGCAUACACAUUCACACACACAUACAUUCUCUCUCUCUCUCUCUCUCUCUCUCUCUCUCUCACACACACACACACAAACACUUUCUCCAUGUACAGGUCUAGAGAGCUGAUCCAGAGGGCUCUGCUGGAGAAUGACUUAAUGAAACACCUGGAGCAGGGACAGGUACUAUGACUAUAUAGUAUUAGUGUAAUACUGCUGUAGUAUUACUCUCAAUGUCUUUGAUGGAUAUCCAUUUAUAUACACUGCUCAAAAAAAUAAAGGGAAC